rnacentral:rRNA from 1 species
GACGAACGCUGGCGGCGUGCCUAAUACAUGCAAGUCGAGCGGAUGGAAGGAAGCUUGCUUCCUAAAGUCAGCGGCGGACGGGUGAGUAACACGUGGGCAACCUGCCCCUAAGAUCGGGAUAACUUCGGGAAACCGGAGCUAAUACCGGAUAUGAUUAUGUCUCACAUGAGACAUAAUGGAAAGACGGUUUCGGCUGUCACUUAGGGAUGGGCCCGCGGCGCAUUAGCUAGUUGGUGAGGUAACGGCUCACCAAGGCGACGAUGCGUAGCCGACUUGAGAGGGUGAUCGGCCACACUGGGACUGCGACACGGCCCAGACUCCUACGGGAGGCAGCAGUAAGGAGUCUGCCGCAAUGGACGAAAGUCUGACGGAGCAACGCCGCGUGAGUGAAGAAGGUUUUCGGAUCGUAAAACUCUGUUGUUAGGGAAGAACAAGUACCAUAGUAACUGAUGGUACCUUGACGGUACCUAACCAGAAAGCCACGGCUAACUACGUGCCAGCCGCCGCCGUAAAAC